rnacentral:misc_RNA from 1 species
GGCUUGGUCACUAUAAUUUGGCAUCAAUCCAGUUUGCUCAAAGGAAGGGACUUGUUAGAGAUUUACCUGUUAUUGAAGUUUGUUCUGAUGUAUGUGAAAGUUGUCAGUUAGGAAAGCAACAUAGAUUGCCAUUUCCCAUUUCUGGUGCUUGGAGAGCAAAUGAAAAAUUAGAAUUGGUCCAUUCAGAUGUCUGCGGGCCAAUGAGCAAUCCUUCACUCAGUGACAACAAGUAUUUUAUCCUUUUCAUAGAUGAUUUCACAAGAAUGACUUGGGUCUACUUUCUCAAGCAAAAGUCUGAGGUGUUUUCUGUCUUCAAAAAAUUUAAAGCACUUGUUGAAGCUCAGAGUGGCUGCAAAUUGAAGACUCUAAGAACAGAUAAUGGGAAGGAAUAUACAUCUGGUGAUUUCAAUCAGUUUUGUGAAGACUUGGGAAUUCAACAUCAGUUAACG